rnacentral:rRNA from 1 species
UACGGGGGGGGCAAGCGUUGUUCGGAAUUACUGGGCGUAAAGGGUCAGUAGGUGGCCAACUAAGUCAGACGUGAAAUCCCUCAGCUUAACUGGGGAACUGCGUCUGAGACUGAUUGGCUCGAGGACAGGAGAGGACGCGGAAUUCCAGGUGUAGCGGUGAAAUGCGCAGAUAUCAGGAGGAACACCGAUGGCGAAGGCAGGUCUCUGGGCCAUAACUGACGCUGAGAAGCGAAAGCAUGGGGAGCGAACAGG